rnacentral:misc_RNA from 1 species
UGCAACCAUCCACACGUCGUUGAAUAUCAGCCAUGGAGAAAACAAGCUUUAUAUUGAACGGAUUGGAACCCUGUGAACCUAUACCAGAAGAUCUAGUUGGAAAAGUAUUGCUACAAAGUUUGAGGAGGGAUGGUGGUGACAGAGAUGCACUGGUCGACGCAUCCACUGGGAUUACUUUAUCUUACAAUGGUAUUUUGGAACAAACCUGCAACUUGGCCGAAGCUUUGCGGAGAUGUGGAACUGGUCCAGAUUCGAUUAACGUAAUUUGCAGCGAGAAUAACUUGGAAUAUUUCAUUCCAGUACUGGCUUGUUUAUAUCUGGGCUGCACUGUAGUUCCUAUAAACCAUCUCUAUACGUCCUAUGAGCUAGAAUAUAGUUUGGAAUUAACGGAACCAAAUAUCAUAUUCUGCUCACAAGCAACUUUGAAAAAUAUCAGAAAGUGUGGAGAAAAAUACCUCACAAAGUUAAUAGUUAUAGACAGUACUGAUGAUGUUCCUGGAACAAUUACUUUGAAGGAGUUUGUGACUGAGCAUCUCAACGGUAUAUCGGUGAUGUCACAAGAGUUUCAACCAUUCAAUGCGUCCAAUCCAGCAAAACAUGUAGCAUUCAUCUUAAGUUCUUCUGGCACAACAGGCCUUCCGAAAGGAGUGAUGAUCACCCAUGAGAUGAUACUAGUUAGGAUUGCACAAUCACGGCAUCCUCUCAUGAUAUCAACAACCGAACAUAAGGUGAAUCUUGGCAUUUUACCAUUCUUUCACGUCUACGGCAUGUGCAUUGGGAUAACUUCAAUCGUCAAUAGAGAGAUAUUAGUCAUUUUGAAAAGAUUCGAACCCAAUACGUUUCUGAAGGCCAUUCAGGAUUAUAAAAUAACGAGUAUGUCUUUAGCACCUCCAAUUAUAAAUUUUCUUGCGAAAUCUCCAUUAUUAGAUGACUAUGAUUUGUCUUCAGUUGAUGAGGUUUACUGUGGGGGUGCUCCAUUGAAUGCUAGCCUGGGAGAAAUUUCGAUAAACAGACUGAAAAUCAGGAUGAUAAGACAAAUUUAUGGCCUAACAGAGACAAUAGCAAUCACCAUCAGCAAUCCCAUAGAUGUAUAUAAUCCUACUUCUUCCGGUAAAGUGGUGCCUUAUAUGAAAAUAAAAAUAGUGGACCAAGAAUCGUUCGAAGUUUUGGGACCCAAUCAAUUGGGAGAGAUACAUGUUAAAGGACCUAUCAUGAAAGGCUACUACAAAAACGAACAAGCUACAAGGGACUCAUUCAGUCCAGAUGGAUGGUUCAAAACCGGUGACUUGGGAUAUUACGACGAGGAUGGAUAUUUGUUCAAUGUGGAUAGGUUGAAAGAAAUGAUAAAGUAUAAGGCACACCAGGUUGCUCCAGCUGAGAUUGAAGCCAUCUUGAUUAAUCAUCCUAGUGUCCUUGAUGCUGGUGUUGUUGGUAUUCCGGAUGACGAGGCAGGAGAACUUCCAUUGGCAUUUGUUGUCAAACAGAGUGGGAUUGAUGUUACAGAAAGGGAGCUCCAAGAAUAUGUGUCUCAAAAAGUGUCACCACAGAAACGACUCAGAGGUGGAAUCAUUUUUGUUUCUGCUAUACCCAAGAGUACCAGUGGAAAAAUAUUACGCAAAGAACUGCGAAAAAAAAUUGGUGAGCGUUAACCUUCGAGAUUAUGAGAAAUUGAGCUGAUAUGAUGUGACCAACUAGAGAUUCAUAUUUUGAUCAUCAAAGAGGAUAAAUUAUUUCGCUUCAAUCAAUAUCUAUGACAGAAACAAAAUACAAGUGUGAAAUUCUGAA